rnacentral:rRNA from 2 species
UACGUAGGUGGCGAGCGUUAUCCGGAAUUAUUGGGCGUAAAGGGUGCGUAGGCGGCACAUUAAGUCUAAGGUUAAAGUUCGAGGCUCAACUUCGGAUUGCCUUAGAAACUGGUGAGCUAGAGUGCAGGAGAGGGCAAUGGAAUUCCAUGUGUAGCGGUAAAAUGCGUAGAUAUAUGGAGGAACACCAGUGGCGAAGGCGGUUGCCUGGCCUGUAACUGACGCUGAGGCACGAAAGCGUGGGGAGCAAAUA